AACGGGUGAGUAAUAUAUCGGAACGUACCCUGGAGUGGGGGAUAACGUAGCGAAAGUUACGCUAAUACCGCAUACGAUCUAAGGAUGAAAGUGGGGGAUCGCAAGACCUCAUGCUCCUGGAGCGGCCGAUAUCUGAUUAGCUAGUUGGUGGGGUAAAGGCCUACCAAGGCAUCGAUCAGUAGCUGGUCUGAGAGGACGACCAGCCACACUGGAACUGAGACACGGUCCAGACUCCUACGGGAGGCAGCAGUGGGGAAUUUUGGACAAUGGGCGCAAGCCUGAUCCAGCAAUGCCGCGUGAGUGAAGAAGGCCUUCGGGUUGUAAAGCUCUUUUGUCAGGGAAGAAACGGUGAUUUCUAAUACAGAUUGCUAAUGACGGUACCUGAAGAAUAAGCACCGGCUAACUACGUGCCAGCAGCCGCGGUAAUACGUAGGGUGCAAGCGUUAAUCGGAAUUACUGGGCGUAAAGCGUGCGCAGGCGGUUUUGUAAGUCUGUCGUGAAAUCCCCGGGCUCAACCUGGGAAUGGCGAUGGAGACUGCAAGGCUAGAGUUUGGCAGAGGGGGGUAGAAAUUCCACGUGUAGCAGUGAAAUGCGUCAGCAUAUGUGGGAGGAACACCGA
rnacentral:rRNA from 1 species